rnacentral:rRNA from 1 species
GUGACUGCGUACCUUUUGUAUAAUGGGUCAGCGACUUAUAUUCUGUAGCAAGGUUAACCGAAUAGGGGAGCCGGAGGGAAACCGAGUCUUAAUUGGGCGUUAAGUUGCAGGGUAUAGACCCGAAACCCGGUGAUCUAGCCAUGGGCAGGUUGAAGGUUGGGUAACACUAACUGGAGGACCGAACCGACUAAUGUUGAAAAAUUAGCGGAUGACCUGUGGCUGGGGGUGAAAGGCCAAUCAAACCGGGAGAUAGCUGGUUCUCCCCGAAAGCUAUUUAGGUAGCGCCUCGUGAAUUCAUCUCCGGGGGUAGAGCACUGUUUCGGCUAGGGGGCCAUCCCGGCUUACCAACCCGAUGCAAACUGCGAAUACCGGAGAAUGUUAUCACGGGAGACACACGGCGGGUGCUAACGUCCGUCGUGAAGAGGGAAACAACCCAGACCGCCAGCUAAGGUCCCAAAGUCAUGGUUAAGUGGGAAACGAUGUGGGAAGGCCCAGACAGCCAGGAUGUUGGCUUAGAAGCAGCCAUCAUUUAAAGAAAGCGUAAUAGCUCACUGGUCGAGUCGGCCUGCGCGGAAGAUGUAACGGGGCUAAACCAUGCACCGAAGCUGCGGCAGCGACCGUAUCACUUAAAGCGAUUCAGCGGAUGACGAUUGACGGAGCGAAGCGACGUCAAAGCUUA